rnacentral:rRNA from 1 species
CAGUCGAACGCUAUCGCAAGAUAGAGUGGCAACACGUGGGAAUCUGCCCUUCUCUGCGGGACAACAGUUGGCAACGACUGCUAAUACCGCAUACGCCCUUCGGGGGAAAGGUCCGCCGGAGAAGGAGGAGCCCGCGUCUGAUUAGCUUGUUGGUGGGGUAAAGGCCUACCAAGGCGACGAUCAGUAGCUGGUCUGAGAGGAUGAUCAGCCACACUGGGACUGAGACACGGCCCAGACUCCUACGGGAGGCAGCAGUGGGGAAUAUUGGACAAUGGAGGCAACUCUGAUCCAGCAAUGCCGCGUGUGUGAUGAAGGCCCUAGGGUUGUAAAGCACUUUCAUUGGUGAAGAUGAUGACGGUAACCAAAGAAGAAGCCCCGGCUAACUUCGUGCCAGCAGCCGCGGUAAUACGAAGGGGGCGAGCGUUGUUCGGAAUUACUGGGCGUAAAGGGAGCGCAGGCGGUUCAUUUAGUUAGGCGUGAAAGCCCCGGGCUCAACCUGGGAACUGCGCUUAAUACUGAUGAGCUAGAAAACAGAAGAGGAUAGUGGAAUUCCCAGUGUAGAGGUGAAAUUCGUAGAUAUUGGGAAGAACACCGGUGGCGAAAGCGGCUAUCUGGUCUGAUUUUGACGCUGAGGCUCGAAAGCGUGGGGAGCAAACAGGAUUAGAUACCCUGGUAGUCCACGCCGUAAACGAUGAUAACUAGAUGUCGGGGGGUCGCCCCUCGGUGUCGCAGCUAACGCAUUAAGUUAUCCGCCUGGGAAGUACGGUCGCAAGAUUAAACUCAAAGGAAUUGACGGGGGCCCGCACAAGCGGUGAGCAU